rnacentral:rRNA from 1 species
CGGCAACAGCUCAAAUUUGAAAUCUGGGUCUUUCAGGCUCCGAGUUGUAAUUUGUAGAGGGCGCUUUGGUGUUGGCUGCGGUCUAAGUUCCUUGGAACAGGACGUCACAGAGGGUGAGAGCCCCGUACG